GCCAUCGUGGUGUAGUGGUUUAACAUUGGACUAUGACUCUGGAGACAAGGGUUCAAAUCCUUGCUGGGGCA